rnacentral:rRNA from 1 species
UACGGAGGAUCCGAGCGUUAUCCGGAUUUAUUGGGUUUAAAGGGUGCGUAGGUGGCCUGUUAAGUCAGGGGUGAAAGACGGUAGCUCAACUAUCGCAGUGCCCUUGAUACUGAUGGGCUUGAAUGAACUAGAGGUAGGCGGAAUGUGACAAGUAGCGGUGAAAUGCAUAGAUAUGUCACAGAACACCAAUCGCGAAGGCAGCUUACUAUGGUUUUAUUGACACUGAGGCACGAAAGCGUGGGGAUCAAACAGG